AUUGAACGCUGGCGGCAUGCCUUACACAUGCAAGUCGAACGGUAGAGUAGCAAUACUUGAGAGUGGCGAACGGGUGAGUAAUAUAUCGGAACGUGCCCGGUCGUGGGGGAUAACGUAGCGAAAGCUACGCUAAUACCGCAUACGAUCUACGGAUGAAAGCGGGGGAUCGCAAGACCUCGCGCGAUUGGAGCGGCCGAUAUCAGAUUAGGUAGUUGGUGAGGUAAAGGCUCACCAAGCCGACGAUCUGUAGCUGGUCUGAGAGGACGACCAGCCACACUGGGACUGAGACACGGCCCAGACUCCUACGGGAGGCAGCAGUGGGGAAUUUUGGACAAUGGGCGCAAGCCUGAUCCAGCAAUGCCGCGUGCAGGAUGAAGGCCUUCGGUUGUAAACUGCUUUGUACGGAACGAACGGUAGAGCUCUAAUACAGUUUGUCUAAUGACGGUACCGUAAGAAUAAG
rnacentral:rRNA from 1 species